rnacentral:tRNA from 1 species
UGUAAAAUAAGCUAAAAAAGCUGUUGGGUUCAUACCCCAGAAAUGAGAAUUUAAUACUCUUUUACAA